AUAGCGCCGAGGUCCCGGGCAAGAAAGGGUUGAAUGGCGCGAUAUACGUAUUCCCCUUGUGCCGACACUGCUGCCGCUGCAGUCCAUCUCGAAUUUGCGAGCUGCGACCUGCGCUAACUUGACAGCGCUGAGGUCGCGGACAACAAACGGUUGAAUGGCGCUAUUUGUCUCCCGCUUGUGCUACACUGCUAUCUGUUGCUAUGGAAAGCUGCGCCCGGCCGCUGGUGCUGCGACCUGCGCUGACUUGACAAAAAUAGCGCGGAGGUCGCAGAAAAGAAGCGGUUGAGUGGCGCGAUAUAACUCCCGCUUGUGCCACAUUGCUGCCGCGGGGCGCUGCUCCAUCUCUAAUCUGAGAGCUGUCCCCGGCCGUUGAUGCUGCGACCGCACUAAUUUGACAGCGCCGAGGUCGCGGACAAGAGACGUUUGAAUGGCGCGAUUUGUCUCCCGCUUGCCUACACUGCUGCCGCUGGGAGCCGGUCCAUCUCUAAGUCAGUGAGCUG